rnacentral:lncRNA from 1 species
UAGGUCUUUGGAAAUAUAGUAAAUUCAAAUAUAUUUCUACAAAAUUCAACUUUCAUAUAUUAUCCCUAUAAAAGUUCUAAUAUUUUCAAAUAUGUUCUCUCUGGUUUGUUAUUGUCAAAAUACAAUUUUUUUUAUAAGUGAAAUGAUCUUUUUGCCAUCAUAAAUAUAUUCCUCCAAAAGUCUCAACUAUUAACUGAAAAGUGGUAAAAAGGUUAAUUCACCUCAUUAACUAACUAUGGUUAAGUAUUUUAUCUAUGGUUAAUAAAUUUUUUCUAACAGAUUCUAACUGCAUGAACAUAUUUGAAAAUAUCAGGACUUUUAGAGUGACAAUAUAUAAAAAUUAAAAUUUAUAGGAAUAUAUUUAUAAUUCACUAUAUUUGGAAGGAUCAGUAUGAAAUUAACCCUUAACAUAACAUAC